rnacentral:lncRNA from 1 species
CAAAGGUUGGUUUUGCCAGUAUGGAUCCUACAUCCAACAGUGACCAACAGUAGAUGCCUACAGAAGGAUAUGAGACCACCAAGUACAACCAAAAAGAAGAUUAGGAAAUCUGAAAAUGUGGGAGCAGAAUAACAAUCCAGCAAAGAAAGGAGGAUUCCUGCUGCUUUCCAGUAGUGCUGCAUCCCAAGGUGGCUUAAAGGAAGAGGUUCAUCAAGGAGGGGAAGCAACUAAGGUGAGACAAGAGGAAAAAGACUUCAUCACCCAGUGCAAAUCUGUUCAGUCAACUCCAGCCAACAUGCCUACCUCAUUGUAAGAGAAAAUGGGGGGAGAAAUAUGGUGAAUAGAUUCUGGAUUAUGUGUUGUGAUACUAUAACAUCAGCAUGAUAUUUCAAGUAGCUUCUGAUUAGCAUAAAUAUAAGGUUAUCACAGAAAACUGCUGCUGUAAAUCUUCACAAUUUAACAUUGUAAUGUUCUUCCUGUUGCCUC